GGUAAUUUUCUUUGCAACAACCUGAGUGCGGUGGACUUCAGAAAGAAUGAGUCUGCAACUCGGAGCUCUUCUGCAAGCCUUCACUGCUCUGCUGGCCAAGUCACCAUAACAUUGGCAUCUCCAAACUGCAGGAUCCUCCUCUUCCCAGUGCCCAUAUGGAUCUGCCUAACGCCCGACUCCUCACCUCCUCCUGCAGAGCACGGGCUGAUCAUAAAGUAAAAUAAC
rnacentral:lncRNA from 1 species